UUUUAUCGUAUCAAAUGUCUCGUAAUUUACUUGGCCUGCGUACCGGUUGGCCGCGGCAUAGUUUUUUCGCGCAUGCUAACUGUCGUAGUGCCUCCUGAGCAGCGCAGGUUCCACUUAGACGACCGUCACACGCGUGCACUUGCGUGACUGCUUCCCUCGAGCCGAUGGAUUUCUUAAGCUAUUGGGGUGGCCGUCACGUCGCGUAGCGCGUGCGUGCCGCACUAGUUUUCAUUCAUCCCCGUACCGUUUUGCGCCAAAGCUUGGAUACCAAGCUGAUCACAAAAGCCGCAGCUAACGUUUUGACCGGUUAUGCUGUCUUCGCUAUUAUGCCCAGAUUGCCAAGUCCACGUUGCACGUAGCGCAACGCAGACGCUGUGGGACACUGCAGCCCCUUCAAGAAAAGGCCGAGUCGUAAAGGAAAAGCUUUCAUCUAUUCCUCACGCAUCCUGGCUGACUGCGACAUGCAACAAGGCCUCUACACACCGGGAGUGUAAUUCCCGACCUCAGACGAAUAACACAAGAAGAAAACAUCACAGGGA
rnacentral:lncRNA from 1 species